ACGCUCGAUACCUACAGGAGGCAGCAGUGGGGAAUAUUGCACAAUGGGGGAAACCCUGAUGCAGCGACGCCGCGUGAGUGAAGAAGUAUUUCGGUAUGUAAAGCUCUAUCAGCAGGGAAGAAGAUGACGGUACCUGAGUAAGAAGCCCCGGCUAACUACGUGCCAGCAGCCGUGGUAAUCUGAGCGGGCUGGCAAGGC
rnacentral:rRNA from 1 species